rnacentral:rRNA from 1 species
UACGUAGGUGGCAAGCGUUAUCCGGAAUUAUUGGGCGUAAAGAGCGCGCAGGCGGUUGAUUAAGUCUGAUGUGAAAGCCCACGGCUUAACCGUGGAGGGUCAUUGGAAACUGGUCGACUUGAGUGCAGAAGAGGGAAGUGGAAUUCCAUGUGUAGCGGUGAAAUGCGUAGAGAUAUGGAGGAACACCAGUGGCGAAGGCGGCUUCCUGGUCUGUAACUGACACUGAGGCGCGAAAGCGUGGGGAGCAAACAGGAUUAGAUA